ACGGGAAUCCAAACCCAUGACCUUGAGGUUAUAAGGCUGAGCCUCUAAACAACUGAGCUAACCAGUUAGCCUCAACUUUAACUUUAAACUGUUUUUAUUGGGAUUGGCUGCUGAAUUUUAUGACGUACUCUUCUAGAAUCUGUCAGUAGCUGCCCAUGCCGUCUUACCGCUCACCUGUGUGUACCAGAGGUUGUUUGCUAUGACAUGGUGAUUCUCUCUUUACCCAGGAGUUUUUCCUUCUGGCCUUGAGCACUGUAGGGCAAGCCUGAAGUGCCAGAAGAUGAACGCCUCUGCAGUAGUUCUCAACUAAUGACAGGUGGGAUCUGGCAGACAGCUUUCUGGUGUCCUUGCCUCUUGGUAGAGCUACAUGUGGAGCGUGCCCAGAGCUCCCCAGUGGCUGAGCUCCAGCUGCCACAGUGGGGCCUGGUUUUAUUGGCUCCCUCCCUUCUCUGUCCCACCUCCUCAUCCCCUAUUGGUGUUUCCUGGAUCAUGUCCUUAGUAACCAAUUUUUGUUUGAAUCCUUCUCUCAGGGUAUGCUUUUGGAGAAAUCUAAACCGAGACAGUUGUGGAAUCAUAGGAUUUUCUCCAUUAGUUUACUGAUUUAAUGCAUGUCAACAAACCAGUUGGUGGGCCAGCUGCCUGUUUUUGAAAAUAAAGUUUUACUGGAACACAGA